rnacentral:rRNA from 1 species
ACUCUUACGGGAGGCAGCAGUAAGGAAUAUUGGUCAAUGGGCGGAAGCCUGAACCAGCCAUGCCGCGUGCAGGAAGACGGCCCUACGGGUUGUAAACUGCUUUUGUACCGGAAUAAACCUCGUUACGUGUAUCGAGCUGAAUGUACGGUAAGAAUAAGGAUCGGCUAACUCCGUGCCAGCAGCCGCGGUAAUACGGAGGAUCCAAGCGUUAUCCGGAUUUAUUGGGUUUAAAGGGUGCGUAGGUGGCUUUUUAAGUCAGGGGUGAAAGACGGUAGCUUAACUAUCGCAGUGCCUUUGAUACUGAUGAGCUUGAAUGAACUAGAGGUAGGCGGAAUGUGACAAGUAGCGGUGAAAUGCAUAGAUAUGUCACAGAACACCAAUUGCGAAGGCAGCUUACUAUGGUUUAAUUGACACUGAGGCACGAAAGCGUGGGGAUCAAACAGGAUUAGAUACCCUGGUAGUCCACGCCCUAAACGAUGAAUACUCGAUGUUGGCGAUAUACGGUCAGCGUCUAAGCGAAAGCGUUAAGUAUUCCACCUGGGGAGUACGCCCGCAAGGGUGAAA